CUACGGGUGGCAGCAGUGAGGAAUAUUGCACAAUGGGGGGAACCCUGAUGCAGCAACGCCGCGUGGAGGAUGACGCAUUUCGGUGUGUAAACUCCUUUUAUAUGUCAAGAAAAUGACGGUAGCAUAUGAAUAAGCACCGGCUAACUCCGUGCCAGCAGCCGCGGUAAUACGGAGGGUGCAAGCGUUACUCGGAAUCACUGCGCGUAAAGGACGCGUAGGCGGGUUGGAAAGUCAGGUGUGAAAUCCUACAGCUUAACUGGAGAACUGCACUUGAAACUUCUAAUCUAGAGUAUGGGAGGGGGAGAUGGAAUUAGUGGUGUAGGGGUAAAAUCCGUAGAUAUCACUAGGAAUACCUAAAGCGAAGGCGAUCUCCUGGAACAUUACUGACGCUAAGGCGUGAAAGCGUGGGGAGCAAACAGGAUUAGAUACCCUUGUAGUC
rnacentral:rRNA from 1 species